GUCUGUCUGUUAUUUGUGUAUAGAAAGGCUAUUGAUUUUUGGGUAUUCACCUUGUAUCCAGAUACUUUACUGAAUCUGUCAAUUAAGUCUAGAAGUUUUUUGGUGGAGUUUUUUGGAUCUUCAAUGUAGAGUAUCAUAUCAUCAGCAAAUAAUGAUAGUUUAACUUCUUCCUUUCCUAUCUUUAUUGCUUUAAUUUCUUUCUCUUGUCUAAUUGCUGUGGCUAAUGUUUCCAGAGCUAUAUUGAAGAGAAGUGGCGAUAGUGGGCAUCCUUGUCUUGUUCCUGAUUUUAACAUGAAGGUUUUCAGUUUUUGGCCAUUCAAUAUGAUGUUGGCUGAUGGUUUUUCAUAAAUAGCCUUUAUUUGUUUUAUUUUUUAUAUAUAUUUUUUCAGAUGUUCCCAGCCCAUGGAGUCCAUUUCCUACCAGCUAUGUCCCCUUGGCUAGAGGUUAAAAGAUCAUCAAGCACUUCAAUCCCCCCACUCCUACCUGGUACUGGCUGUUUUGGUGAAGAAGUCUGGGGUCUGCUUCAAUUCUUUUCUCCUUGAUGUGACAAGAUUUUUCUACCUUUUGCAGUAAGAUUUUUCUUUUCCAUUUUUGAAGUUCAGCAAUUUCAAAAGAGUACAGCUUAGUAUUUAUCUUCCUGUGUCACUUCUUUUUGGGAAAAUGUCUGCCCUUUUGAUCCACAGACUCAAUCGUGUUUUAUGCUGUGUGGUUUG
rnacentral:lncRNA from 1 species